rnacentral:lncRNA from 1 species
AUUGACCACCCGGGCAACUGUGAGGCCCUCUACCGGCUUGAUGGCGUGCAUCUUUCGGAUGCGGGAAAUGUUAUUUGGCUUGAUGGCGUGCAUCUUUCAGAUGCGGGAAAUGACAUGUGGCUGACUGAUAUAGCAAUGGGUGUAAGGGAUUGGUUUCAGGCAUGAGAGUAUUGGCGGCGAGCGAUUGCUCGUGUGGCGGUAGGCAUUGGUAAGAAGGGGUUAAGAGGAUGUGGGGGGGGAGGAACGCCAUCACCUCCCCCCAGUGAGCGAAGGGUGGUCCGUUAAAGGACUCCGGGGGGCGUGGCCCUGUCCGAAGCCUAUGGAGGUGUGGGCCAAAGGCAUGCCCCCGAGCGGUGACCCGGGGGAGCUCCUAGUCGACGUGCCUUGGCAGGAGACUCCCCCGAUAUAGUGUUAACCCUUCCCCGUGUCUCCAGCAAAUGGGCUGGAGCCGGAUAGUCGUUAGGACCAAUGCCUAAGCCAAUGCCUCUCAUUCCUGAAUUCAAUAAAGUUGUGGCCUAAUUCGCCCAUUUAACCUUAAGCUAUGGCGUCUCGUGUCUUUAUUUAUCCUGGUGGGGGGCGGGAACUCGCCACGCAAAAUGAAAAUACUGAAGCUUCUCAGACCAUUUGGUCCACAUACAAUACUGGUUUAUAGUGCAACAAGGAACAGCAUUUAUUCUGAUUCAUCCUAUGAAAAAGCACUCACGCACCCCUCAGUUUCUUAACAUGCUUUGUGAUGAAUGAUGUGGAGCUCCUCAUUACCCUAGGGCCUGCUUAAGCUUUUGCCCAUCUGCUUUUUCUACCUCUCCAACUAUCCUGAAAAACAAAGCCUAAACCCCAAGGUUCCUUUCUAUCAAAACAUAUUUUUUGCUUUCCUCACAGUAGCUCAAUAGUUAAACAUUCCCCAACUGAACCUUCCCCUCUUAGCACAUUCUGGAAUAUCGCAGCCCCCUAGUUUUGGUUGGGAAAGGGAGGGUGUCACUGAUAUUCAAACACAGACACACUAAUUUCUUCAGACGUGUAAUCCGUCCCUUAUCCUGAAUGUGGCUUGGAAGAAUGAGGGAUACUUAUUUUCUGCUUAACAGUCUUUUGUUUCUGUGUUUACAUACAGAAUCGUCAAAUAUAUCGAGUGAGCAGGAUCUUGAUAUGGAAGUGACAAAGAUGGAGCAAGGCAUUUUGAAUGGUAAGAAAUUCUCUGGAAACAAGGUUAAGAACAUAAGAAGAACCCUGGCAGAACCCUUGGCAGAUUAGACCAAAGGCUUACUUUGUCCAGCAUCCCGUUUUCCCUCAAGCAUCCUGCUUUCCAGCAUCCCGUUUUCCCAUCCCGUUAGCCCUGCAUGACCAAUGUUCCAGAACCGAUCAGCAGUAAAGGACGCUAAACAUUUCAUGUACGUGAGACCAUCCGUCUCAGGUCCAUCCCUUAUACACUUGGAUAGCUCCCGCCUUGCACGGCAUCAGUCCACGCGCAUUAUGCGAAGGGAGAUUGCUGCCUGCAGUUUAUCCUCAGCUGAAUUCGUGGCUAACUCCUUUAGGAUUGGGGCCGUCACCACAGCGCUGCAUUUGGGACUCUCAGCUGAAAGGAUGAAGGACUUGGGGGCAGUGAAAGUCUGAUGCAUUUAAGGGAUAUAUUCGUAAGACUUUGUGAUUGUUCACAGUAUACUUGACCUGGCUUCGUUACCUUCUUUUGCUUUCAGGUGAUGUUGUGGUGCACAUUUGGAUUAUAGGCCCUGCACUGUCCACUGGGAUAGAAACCAUGCCGUUAACGGGGACCCUAGGGUGCAGGAGCUAUGAGGGCGCGCAUCUGGAUAAUCGGACACAGCAUUGUGCAUUGGGCCAGGGUCCGCGCCAUCAAUUCCGGUCUCGGGCCGCACCUUAACUACAUCAAUAUGUCUUGGAUCUCUCGGAGGGGAAUGCGCUGGGCCGGAUUGUUGCCCGCAAUUAGGGCCAGAGCGGCAGUGGUGGGCCCCCCGGAUGCUUUAGUUAUCCAGUUUGGCGAAAAGGAUUUAGCUUACAGAAAGGCAGUUGACUUGAUGUGGCAUCUCUUUAGUGACUUUGAGGAACUUAAGGCCUCUUAUCCAAACAUCACCAUUCUUUGGGCCUUGUUGAUGGAAAGCCGGGUUUGGAGAAAGAGCAGGUGCCCGAUAGCCACAAAUAGGGCUAGGAAAGCCUUGGAUCGGGCGGUGGUGCGUAGAGUGGCAGCCCUGGGUGGGUGGGUCAUUGACCACCCGGGCAACUGUGAGGCCCUCUACCGGCUUGAUGGCGUGCAUCUUUCGGAUGCGGGAAAUGUUAUUUGGCUUGAUGGCGUGCAUCUUUCAGAUGCGGGAAAUGACAUGUGGCUGACUGAUAUAGCAAUGGGUGUAAGGGAUUGGUUUCAGGCAUGAGAGUAUUGGCGGCGAGCGAUUGCUCGUGUGGCGGUAGGCAUUGGUAAGAAGGGGUUAAGAGGAUGUGUGUAGGGGGGAGGAACGCCAUCACCUCCCCCCAGUGAGCGAAGGGUGGUCCGUUAAAGGACUCCGGGGGGCGUGGCCCUGUCCGAAGCCUAUGGAGGUGUGGGCCAAAGGCACGCCCCCGAGCGGUGACCCGGGGGAUCUCCUAGUCGACGUGCCUUGGC